rnacentral:rRNA from 1 species
GAUGAACGCUGGCGGCGUGCCUAAUACAUGCAAGUCGAGCGAACAGACGAGGAGCUUGCUCCUCUGACGUUAGCGGCGGACGGGUGAGUAACACGUGGAUAACCUACCUAUAAGACUGGGAUAACUUCGGGAAACCGGAGCUAAUACCGGAUAAUAUAUUGAACCGCAUGGUUCAAUAGUGAAAGACGGUUUUGCUGUCACGUAUAGAUGGAUCCGCGCCGCAUUAGCUAGUUGGUAAGGUAACGGCUUACCAAGGCAACGAUGCGUAGCCGACCGGAGAGGGUGAUCGGCCACACUGGAACUGAGACACGGUCCAGACUCCUACGGGAGGCAGCAGUAGGGAAUCUUCCGCAAUGGGCGAAAACCUGACGGAGCAACGCCGCGUGAGUGAUGAAGGUCUUCGGAUCGUAAAACUCUGUUAUUAGGGAAGAACAAAUGUGUAAGUAACUAUGCACGUCUUGACGGUACCUAAUCAGAAAGCCACGGCUAACUACGUG